AUCGCAGCGUCGGAUGUUCAGAGCAGCAGAAGGCGGCGUCGUCGGAUGUUGUGUUGCCCGCCACCAUGAGCUACACAGGCUUUGUCCAGGGAUCUGAAACCACUUUGCAGUCGACAUACUCGGAUACCAGCGCUCAGCCCACCUGUGAUUAUGGGUAUGGAACUUGGAACUCUGGGACAAAUAGAGGCUACGAGGGCUAUGGCUAUGGCUAUGGCUAUGGCCAGGAUAACACCACCAACUAUGGGUAUGGUAUGGCCACUUCACACUCUUGGGAAAUGCCUAGCUCUGACACAAAUGCAAACACUAGUGCCUCGGGUAGCACCAGUGCCGAUUCCGUUUUAUCCAGAAUUAACCAGCGCUUAGAUAUGGUGCCGCAUUUGGAGACAGACAUGAUGCAAGGAGGCGUGUACGGCUCAGGUGGAGAAAGGUGAGUGGACACCUGCCUAGGGGUUGAGGCUCUGCAGGGGCGGCUCCUGCCUGCUGCCCACUGCGUCUUCCUCUCUGAGUGCCCCUCUGUGUCUGCUUCCUCCCCCCUGCUUGGUGCUGCUGUGGCUCCUAGCAGGGUCCGUUGCACUUCCCGUCU
rnacentral:sRNA from 1 species